GAUGAAGAACGCAGCGAAAUGCGAUACUUGGUGUGAAUUGCAGAAUCCCGUGAACCAUCGAGUCUUUGAACGCAAGUUGCGCCUCAAGCCAUUAGGUUGAGGGCACGUCUGCCUGGGCGUCACAUAUCGUUGCCUGAUGCCAGUUUCCUCGUGAUGGGGGACUGUGCAGGGCGAAUGAUGGCUUCCCGUGAGCAUUGUUGCCUCAUGGUUGGUUGAAAAUUUAGUCCUUGGUAGGGAGCGCCGUGAUAGAUGGUGGUUGAGUGACGAACGAGACCCAAUCAUGUGAGACCCCUACCGAAUUUGGCCUUCAUGACCCACAUGCGUCUUUGGAACGCUCAUGACGAGAACUCAGGUCAGGCGGGGCUACCCGCUGAGUUUAAGCAUAUCAAUAAGCGGAGGA
rnacentral:misc_RNA from 1 species